CCUACGGGCGGCAGCAGUGGGGAAUAUUGCGCAAUGGGCGAGAGCCUGACGCAGCGACGCCGCGUGAGGGAUGAAGGUCUUCGGGUCGUAAACCUCUGUCAGCCGGGGAGCACGGUCACUGUGCUAAUCAGCAGUGAAUUGUACGUACCUGCAAAGGAACCACCGGCUCACUCCGUGCCAGCAGCCGGGGUAAUACGGAGGGUGCGUGCGUUAAUCGGAAUUCCUGGGCGUAAAGCGCUCGUGGGCGGUAUGGCAAGUCAAGGGUGAAAUCGCCGAGCUCAACGUGGGAACUGCCGUUGAAACUGGCAAACGUGAGUGGGUGAGAGGAAAGUGGAAUUCGUGGUGUAGGGGUGAAAUGCGUAGAUAUCAGGAGGAACAUCGGUGGCGAAGGCGACUAACUGGCACAUAACUGACGCUGAGGAGCGAAAGCGUGGGUAGCAAACAGGAUUAGAUACCCUUGUAGUC
rnacentral:rRNA from 1 species